UAAAGAAGGCCGAACCCACUUGUUGGAAUCCGUUGUGUACCACUUUGACCCGCAUUAAAAUGUUGUUAAAAACUACAGAAUUUAUUUAUGUGAAUUAUUGAUCAUUUGAAUUUUGCUACACAACCUUUUAAAUUUUUAAAUUUGCUAUCAAAUAUUUUCAAUUUGUUUGAUUUGAAUAAGCCAAUAAUAUUUGAUUUAAAAUUUAAAUCAAUUACUUAUUUUAAUAAUCUUAUAGUUAAGAAACUUGUAUAAAGUUUACUAACUAAAUCUAUAAGAAUAAAUAAUACAUUCAAAUUGUAAAGUCAAAAUAUUAUUGACUGAUUUAAAAUCAAAUAAAUUGAAAGAUUGAAUAAUCAAAUUAAAUUUUGAGAGGUUGGGUAGGUAAAAGGAUUCAUGAUCUAAUUAAGUUUUGCACGUUUU
rnacentral:lncRNA from 1 species